rnacentral:rRNA from 1 species
GAGUUUGAUCGUGGCUCAGAUUGAACGCUGGCGGCAUGCUUUACACAUGCAAGUCGAACGGUAACGCGGGGGCAACCCUGGCGACGAGUGGCGAACGGGUGAGUAAUACAUCGGAACGUGUCCUGGAGUGGGGGGAUAGCUCGGCGAAAGCCGGAUUAAUACCGCAUACGCUCUGAGGAGGAAAGCGGGGGACCUUUCGGGCCUCGCGCUGCGGGAGCGGCCGAUGUCGGAUUAGCUAGUUGGUGGGGUAAAGGCCUACCAAGGCGACGAUCCGUAGCUGGUCUGAGAGGAUGAUCAGCCACACUGGGACUGAGACACGGCCCAGACUCCUACGGGAGGCAGCAGU